rnacentral:rRNA from 1 species
GACAGAGGGUGCAAACGUUGUUCGGAAUUACUGGGCGUAAAGCGCGUGUAGGCGGCUGCGUAAGUCGGGCGUGAAAUCCCAUGGCUCAACCAUGGAAGUGCACCCGAAACUGCGUAGCUAGAGUCCUGGAGAGGAAGGUGGAAUACUUGGUGUAGAGGUGAAAUUCGUAGAUAUCAAGUGGAACACCGGUGGCGAAGGCGGCCUUCUGGACAGUGACUGACGCUGAGACGCGAAAGCGUGGGGAGCGAACGGG